rnacentral:rRNA from 1 species
AUUGAACGCUGGCGGCAUGCUUUACACAUGCAAGUCGAACGGCAGCGCGGGCUUCGGCCUGGCGGCGAGUGGCGAACGGGUGAGUAAUACAUCGGAACGUGCCCAGUAGUGGGGGAUAGCUCGGCGAAAGCCGGAUUAAUACCGCAUACGACCUGAGGGUGAAAGCGGGGGAUCUUCGGACCUCGCGCUAUUGGAGCGGCCGAUGGCAGAUUAGCUAGUUGGUGGGGUAAAGGCCUACCAAGGCGACGAUCUGUAGCUGGUCUGAGAGGACGACCAGCCACACUGGGACUGAGACACGGCCCAGACUCCUACGGGGGGCAGCAGUGGGGAAUUUUGGACAAUGGGCGAAAGCCUGAUCCAGCAAUGCCGCGUGUGUGAUGAAGGCCUUCGGGUUGUAAAGCACUUUUGGCGGGAACGAAAAGGACUAUGCCAAUACCACGGUUCGAUGACGGUACCCGCAGAAUAAGCACCGGCUAACUACGUG